rnacentral:miRNA from 1 species
UUGUGUGUACAUGUACAUGUAU